CCGCCUAUGCUGUGUGCUUGCAGGAGCUCCCAAGAGUUCCCGCCCUUGACCCAAAGAUGCUGCUCUUGCUAAUCUCGCAUUUCAAACUCUCCUCUGGAUUCACUCUCAGAGCCUACAGCCCCUUCUUUAAAAAUUUCAUCAACAACAGCCAAUUCCUGUCCUUGUAGAAUGGAUGUAAUUUUUGGAGACAACCAUUUUCAGCUAUGUCCAGUGAAUAAGUGUGAAUCAGUCACAGUCCUAAGGAGGACAGAAAGGCUGAUCCCGGGAGGAAUCCAGCCCAGGGAUAAGUUUCGGCUGUGUUGCUUUUGCCUACCUGCGCCCAGCAAAUUUGACUUCCGGAGUCAGUCAUUUUGGUGUUGAGACAUUUCUUUUGUAUUCUACACCGGUUCCCAAAGCGGCUGGAACCCGCCAGGACCUGAAGCCACAGAAAGUGCGUGCUCAGCUGCCUUCCCCGCUUUGGGGGCAGAAGGCAGAGGAGAGUUCCUGGAAGCGUCAAGCUCGCA